ensembl:lncRNA
UGUUGAAUAAAAAUUAAAUUGGAAUUGUGUAUGUGAUGUAUCUGUUGGUGCACUAGCCGGAAAUAUGAUCCCGUACACUUGGAUUUUGCUCUAGCCGCUAAAGUCAACUGUCACCGCAGACACGGCGUGCGCAUGAAGCAGUGAAGCCAGCCGACUCCCGACUCGACAGAAAACGCAGCUAGAGGUUGCAGCAAAGAAGCCUCAACAAUCAUUCCAGAUUCUUCAUCAGGAUAAAUCCAGAGCACAGCAAGUGCAAUUUGAAGGUUCAGGUUAGCAGAAGAAUCAGGGACUUCAUUGAGUAUGACUGGAAGAACAACUAAUACCGUCGUUCUGAAUCCCACUUUUAACCCCAGGGUAGAAGACUCCAGCCCAGGAAAUUGACUAGUUCAGGCCCGUUUUUGAAGAAAAAUACAGUUCUGGGAGAAAAACAACGUUCAGGGACCAAAUUCUACUGUUUGAAAUCCUGUUGUUUUUAAAUCAUUUAAUUUGUCUUUUAUACAUUCUAAUUUUAACCGAACAUUUUAAUACAUUUGAACAGGAUUGAUUUGUAUGUUCAGAAAAGUGUUGUUGUAUACAAAACGAAAUGAAAUGUUAACAGAAAAAUGUUUACCUAUUGAAAAAAAAUGUUUUUGCUAUGCUAUUUUUAUUUUAUGAAUUUAGAAAUUUAAAGUUAAUCCCUAUUACAGUAGUAUAAUAUGUGAGGUGAUGAAACACAGUACUGUGAUUAUUACUGUAAAAAAGUUUACAGUAUUUUUAAAGUUACUGCAAUUAAGUUUACAGUAAGCAUACUGUGAAAUGAACUACAGCAACUUACUUGCUAAUUGCUGCCAGCAAGUUACUGUAAAUUUCACAGUAUUCUAUUUACAG